rnacentral:snRNA from 1 species
GUGCUUGCUUCGGCAGCACAUAUACUAAAAUUGGAACAAUGCAGAGGAGAUUAGCAUGGUGCCUGUGCAAGGAUGACACACUAAUUCGUGGACUGUAUGUUCUC